CAACCCUCGACGUCCCCCCGGGGACGUCGGCGUUGGGGACCGGCAGCACACCGCCGCCCCCGAAAUGAAGUGGCGGCCCGUCCGCGGCGACCUCUGCGUAGUACUCCAACGCGCACCGGGACCCCGACGCGGCCACGCCGUAAAACACCCCACUCUGAA
rnacentral:misc_RNA from 1 species